GAUCCUGGCUCAGAAUCAACGCUGGCGGCGUGCCUCAGACAUGCAAGUCGAACGAUUAAACUUUCCUUCGGGAAAGAUAUAAAGUGGCGCACGGGUGAGUAACACGUAAGUAAUCUACCUUCGAGUGGGGAAUAACGUUCGGAAACGAACGCUAAUACCGCAUAAUGCAGCGGCAUCGCAAGAUGACAGUUGUUAAAGGAAUUUAUUUCGCUUGAAGAGGAGCUUGCGGCAGAUUAGCUUGUUGGUAAGGUAACGGCUUACCAAGGCUACGAUCUGUAUCCGGUCUAAGAGGACGGUCGGACACACUGACACUGAAUAACGGGUCAGACUCCUACGGGAGGCAGCAG
rnacentral:rRNA from 1 species